rnacentral:rRNA from 1 species
GAUUAGAUACCCUGGUAGUCCACGCCGUAAACGAUGUCGACUUGGAGGUUGUGCCCUUGAGGCGUGGCUUCCGGAGCUAACGCGUUAAGUCGACCGCCUGGGGAGUACGGCCGCAAGGUUAAAACUCAAAUGAAUUGACGGGGGCCCGCACAAGCGGUGGAGCAUGUGGUUUAAUUCGAUGCAACGCGAAGAACCUUACCUGGUCUUGACAUCCACAGAACUUUCCAGAGAUGGAUUGGUGCCUUCGGGAACUGUGAGACAGGUGCUGCAUGGCUGUCGUCAGCUCGUGUUGUGAAAUGUUGGGUUAAGUCCCGCAACGAGCGCAACCCUUAUCCUUUGUUGCCAGCGGUCCGGCCGGGAACUCAAAGGAGACUGCCAGUGAUAAACUGGAGGAAGGUGGGGAUGACGUCAAGUCAUCAUGGCCCUUACGACCAGGGCUACACACGUGCUACAAUGGCGCAUACAAAGAGAAGCGACCUCGCGAGAGCAAGCGGACCUCAUAAAGUGCGUCGUAGUCCGGAUUGGAGUCUGCAACUCGACUCCAUGAAGUCGGAAUCGCUAGUAAUCGUGGAUCAGAAUGCCACGGUGAAUACGUUCCCGGGCCUUGUACACACCGCCCGUCACACCAUGGGAGUGGGUUGCAAAAGAAGUAGGUAGCUUAACCUUCGGGAGGGCGCUUACCACUUUGUGAUUCAUGACUGGGGUGAAGUCGUAACAAGGUAACCGUAGGGGAACCUGCGGUUGGAUCACCUCCUU